UUGAUGGGAACCUUAGGAUGAUUUGUGCUUUAAUUUUCUAUUCCCAGAAGGUGCCCUGGGUGGUGUCCAUUGUGUGGUUUCUGCUCAUGGGGAGGCUUCUCUCCCUUACCUUUGGGUGGUAUUACAUAUUUGUGUGGCUCACUUAAGAGGUGUCUAUGAGGAGGUUUAGGUUCAUGAGGUGCUCCCUUUCCUUUACCCUUGGAUGGUUUGUCACCGGGGAAUGGUUUCAUGGAUGGCUUACCGUCAGGGAAUCCUUCAACAUGUGGAGGUUUACCCCCUGAGUGUCGUGGAGGUUUAUAUGUGUCCUCAACUUCCACAUUCAAUAGGUGUCUAUGAGGAGGUUUGGGUUCAUGAGGUGCUCCCUUUCCCUUACCCUUGGAUGGUUUUUCACCGGGGAAUGGCUUCAUGGGUGCUUUAUCGGUAGGGAACCCCUCAACAUGUGGAGGUUUACCCCCCGAGUGUCUUGGAGGUUUACCACCUGAAUGUCGUGGAGGUUUAUGUGUGCCCUCAACUUCCACACUCAAUAAGUUUCUAUGAGGAGGUUUUUCCCCAUGUGGUGGCUCCUCUCCUUUACCGCCAGGUCCACUGUGUAUUGGCGGUCGGUGUUCAGGGAAUGGCUUGUGUUCUGGUUGCUUCUCACCUGGGAAAGGCUUCCCCUUGGGAAGCUCAUUAUCAUGAUGUUGGUUAGCUAGAGAAGGAGUGAUGAUAAAAACCACCACUCCAACGAGAAACAAAAGCAAGCAGGCUUUAGACAUGUUUGGGAAUAUAUCUCUCGGUUUUGUUGUGCUUCACAAACUAUAACAUUUGCUGCCCUUUUAUAGUGGACGGAAAGCUAGACUUAUGACGUCACCACACAUGCAAUUUUGCAUUUGUGCGGUGUUGAGUCGCUCUUUGGGUCCCAUGUGGCGUCGAAAUUUUUGACAAAUUUGCUACUGUGAAAAUCAUGACACCUUAAAGUUUAACUACUGUGAAAAACACGUUGCAAGAAUUUUUCGACAUACAUGGUUCUGCGGAUUUUCAAUGUGAAAUAUUGAAUCUACAUUGCUUUUUGACAUUCUAAGGGGAUCACAUGCUAUAUAGUCAGUUUGUGAGAAGCUAAAUACCUUUAACAGGGAUGAGUCCAGAAAUAAUUUUAAGAGGUGAGAAUUAAAUUAUAAAAUUUAUGAGGAGUUAAAAGUCAUGGCAUAUAAAAAAAACCCAAAGGGGUUAAAAUUUUUUCCACAUUUUUUAAAUUGCGAUUGGUUAAAGCUGUCGAGAGAUGUCGUUGACAAAUUGGUAUGAACAUAUGAAACUGUGGGAAAGUUCAGAGGCGAUUCUAGAGGUCGCAUGGGAACCGACCCUUAAAUGCAAAAUUAUUAUUUAGAUCCUUUUAAUUUUUUAAAAUUUUAAAUUAAUAAAGAUAAAAUUAUAUUUUGGCCCCCUAAAAAUUAUAAAGAUAUAAAUUAUAAAAAAUUAAAAUUUUAUUCGACCUCCCUAAAAAAUUGUUCAAGGAAAAGUUGCAGAAAUUUGUCAUAAAAUAAGUACAGAUUUGAGUCACGAAACAUUAUCAAUAUAGGACAAAAUGGUAUGAACAUUUGAAACUGUGGAAAAGUUGCAGAAAUUUGUCAUAAAAUAAGUACAGAUUUGAGUCACGAAACAUUAUCAAUAUGUAAUUAUAGAUUAUGUUAAAAGAAUUCCCACUAAGUUUAUCUAUAAAAACAAAAUCCAUAGUACUGUAGAUAUGAUAAGCUUCUGAAAAUGAUAGGUGUUCCUUUUCAUCCACUCGAUGGGGUUAUGGGAAAAGGGGAAGAGUACGAAAGAAAGAAAAAUAACAGUCGGAUUUAACACGUGAAAGAUAUUAUAGUAUAUGUUUUUCAGAUAAAUCGAUUCAUUGGUUGGACCAGAUUGAAUAAUUUUUAUUAGUGUCGACCCCAAAUAUGAAUAUAUUAUUUUGAUGAAAUUAGUGGAUCCAUAACGCAAACUUUGAAUUUGGAGUAUUCAUUGUCUAGGCCCACCGGUACUGAGAACACUAUUAAAAUUUGAACUCUCUAACCCAUAACAAGUUUAUUAUGUUUAUUUAUAUAAUACCAGUUGCGGUUUAUUGGACUGCAUUCAAGGGGUUUAAUUCCAGCAAAUUAUUUCAGCUUUCAAAAGCUACUAUUAUAUAUGCGUUUUUUAUUUUAUUUUUAGGCUUAGUUUAUUUCCCUGAACAUAAUUUACGAAAAAUAUUUUUUGAAUUUUUUAUAUUUAUUUUAUAAAAAAUAAUUUGGUCAACGGAAAAUAACUUAAAAGUCAAUAGAAAAUAAAUUCUUUUCCUGUAAAAUAAUUUAUCCUUCUAAAAAGCGCAAGUCAUUUUUUGAAAAAAGCUCAUUUAUGAGUAAUUUUAUUUUUUAUAAAAAUUAACUUAAAUCAAACUUAACAUUACUAUAUUAAUAAUAAAAUUUAUUUUUAUUUUUAAAAAAUAUUAUAAUAUUAAUAUAAAAUAUUAUAAUUUUCAAUAUGAUUAAACAUACAUAUUUAAUCAUAUAAUAAAUUAUUAAUAUAAUUAAUAUAAUUUAUUAUUUUAAUAAAUAAUUUAAUAUUUUUAUUUUAUUUUAAUAAUAAAUUUUGAAAAUAAUAAAUUUAAAUAAUAUUCUUCACAUAUUAUUGAAAAUAUUCAAUAUUAAAUAUUUUAAUAAUAAAUGUUUUGUACUAUAGAAGUUAAAAUAUGUCAUAAGUCCAUGUAUUCUUCACAAGUUUGAAAUUUAGUCUCUAUACUUUUGUAACACCUCUCACUCGGUCAGGUUGCCGAACCCAGUAACAGGAUGCCACAAUAACUUUUGGAACUUAUACGCAUGCAUACACGAUUUCAAUUAAGAGCAAUUGAAAAUAAUUUAUUAUAUCUUAGGAAAACUUAUUAAACCAAAUCAAAGUGAUUAACUCUGAGACCUCCAAUUCGCUGAGUCUGUGUCCUAACCACAUGGAUUACCUGUUAAGGGAUAAACUAAGAGGGUGAGCUACAAAACACAGUGUGAGUUUUAACUAAAAGUAAACGACGCAACAACAAACAGUCGAUCAAACUUACAAUUACCAUAAUCAAACCAUAAACAGAGAUCAUAUCAGAUUAGCGUAUCAUAUUAUUAUAUCACUAAACAGAUAUGCAAAAUCGUAUUCAUAUGUAAUAUGGUGCAAAAUCCCUCCUAUCCAACCGCUACACGCCAACUCCAUCAUCCAUCUCACACCAAUAAGGGUAUGCUAGACCCUUUCCAACCUCUGCACACCAAUAUUGGGUUAUGGUGGACCCAUCCAACCAAAUCACACCUUGAGGUGGUCGUAAGCCACUUAAAUGUGAUGCAGUCAAGUUGCUAACACUAUUGCAGUUUUAUCGCCAAAUUAUAACAAUACAGUUUAACUACCAAAUCGAACUUCCUUCUCUUUAAUAUCAACCCCAACCAUAAUGCAUAUGCAAAAAUCUCUCAAUUCAUAUACAUAUAUAUAUAUCAAAUCAGACAUUCUCAUAUCCAAUUACAAAAUAGAAAAAUAAACAAUGUGCACAAUUUUCGAUUAUCACAUCCAUACAUUUUCAUAUAUUAGGUUUUGUAUACAACAUCAUAUCAACAACCUAUGCGAGUAACCAUUUUAAAGUUGUGAAUGCAUAUGUAUGAAAAUGUUCUAACAAUAAUACGCCUUUCAUAUACCUACUAUAACCAAUAACAGUGUCUCAAUCACUCCUACAGAGGCUUAAAUACACAAUAGAUCACUCAGGGACUAAAAUGAAUUAAUUUGCAAAAAGUAGUGACAAAAUUGCAGAAACAGGACCACACGGUCGUGUGGGAAGGUUCAGACGUGUGGUAGGGGUACACGGCCGUAUGACUGAGAUACAUAGCAAUGUAAGUAGGUCGUGUAACUCACUAAACCCAUGUGACAAUUUUCAAAACUAAGGAGCAGGGGAGACACGGCCGUAUGGGAACUCCCUAAGCCGUGUGACAAGAAACUUAACCUAUUUUCAUAAGCGACGCAUGAUCGUAUGGACCGUCCAUGUGCAGCACACGCUCGUGUGGUUACAAAAACCACCCCAAAUCUUACUGCAAAUCUCGAACAUUAACCAUAAAAUCACCCCUAUUUACGAAUGUUCAAGAAAGACACCUGAAAUCGCAAUUCCCAGCACCAAAGAUUGAUAGAUUCGCCUCUACUCUACCAAUCUGAAAACUCAAUAUCACACACAUACAAAACCUAUAAGGAUUUCGACCUUACAAUUAAAAAAGAAUGAAGAAACUGGUCUACAACUCAAAAGAUAGCACUUACCCGAUUAAAACUUUGACAAAUCAAAAUGUGGAAGAACGGGAGAGACUCUAACGAAUCAAGAGUAAUCAGGGCUUAAGCGCAAAGACAAAAUGGCACAAAAACUACUAAAAUUUUAGGGUAUUAAUGGGAAAGAAAAAAAACAAAAUUGAAAAGUAAAAGAAUGACAUAAAAGAAAAUUCAAUAACAAAGAAGAAAACAAAACUACCAGCCAAAGAGUGAGAGAGAGGGGAACGUUACUAGGAGGAGUUUUAGGGAUUCCUGUUUUCAAAAAUUAAAAUAAAAUAAAAAAGAUAAAAAUAAAUAAAAUCCUAACCUAUCAAGUUUAUUAGAGUUAAAAACCAAAAAUAACUUCCUCUAAGCACACGCAAGGAUUUGAACAUGAGAUCUAAGGGUAAGCUAACCUUACUAGUGAACCAACAAACUCAUUCUAUCACUAGAACACGAAAACAAACUUAAAAGUUCAACUACCCCUACAAACUCAUCCUACAAACCUUGAUGCUUCUAACCCCAAUUUCGGGACGUGAUAGUAAGUAUUGAUACUAAAUAGCAAGUAUCGAUAUUUAGUAAAUUAGGUAUCGAUACUAAUGUAAAAAUUGUAUCUUGCCAAUUUUGGUUUAAAACAUUUUAUCGAUACCUUGGCAAGAGUAUCAGUAUCUUUAUAACAAGUAUCGAUACUCGUGAGUAGGUAUCAAUACCAAAUUAGGUUUCUGUCAAUUUUUUAAAAUGUCUCAUUUUCAUGGUAUCAAUAUUCAUGCCCCGAUUAUCAGUACUUUUACUUAGAAUGCAAGAAAAAAAAAACACACACACACACAGAAUAAAGUGCUCUUCAUGCUUAAAACAAUGUUCUUACUCCACACACAAUUAUGAUCUAAUUUAACUGAACUUAUUAAUAUCUUUUAAACAUUUAUCAUGCCACAUCCGUACAUUUGCAUCAAAAUUACCUAACAUGCAUUAUCAGCCUUAAUCUCAAACAUCAAAUUGUUCAUAAAUGAAGUCCAAAACAACAUCAACAUCCCAUAAGUGAAAUCUUAAAUUUGUGAUAAAUAAAAUGAUGAUAAUAACUAGAACUAUAACUCUAACCCACAACACAUUUAUUCAAAGUGUUCAAAAAAUAUAAAACCACCUACUUGAAAGUUUAUUGCCUUGCUAAGAUCACUUCAUUGGCCACUCCACUCACACUGAAAGUGCUGCUUAUCUGCAAAAUUGUUCUGUGGAAGUGUGAGCUUAAACAAGCUCAGUGAAUAAUUGAAAUUACCACAAGGCAUACAUAACAUCAUACAUAAAGCAAAAGCAACUAAGCACCAUCACAACCAUAUUUACAACAACGCCAAACUAACAUAUUCAUGAUUCGUUAUGUUAUACGUCUAUCUUAUGUACUCACAUGCGCAUACAUAGAACAUAUUUCAUAUAUAAAUCAUUUAAUGAUAAUUUGGCAACUUGAGAUUAUGAAACAUAAAAGUGAACUCUAUCGCCACACAUCGGAUAGACCACACCAAUGACUCAAAGAGUCUAACAUAUCCCAUAAGUGUAACAUAAAGCUAAACACUCUCCAACGCACCACAAAGAUGAGUACUCACUAGGGGUGUUCAAACGGUUAACCGAACCAAAUUAGUAUUAACCAAAUUAAUCAAAUUAACCAACCUUUUUAAUCUUUUAACCAUUAACAGAAUUGAAUUUUUUUCAAAAAACUUAAUCGAACCGACAUAUUUCAGUUAAUUCGGUCAAUCAACCGAAUUAAUCUAAAUUUAUAUGUUGUUUUUUUAAAAAAAAACAAGUAUAAAACAUAUCAAAAUUUUUUUUGAUAAUGUUCAUUUGACCGAAUUAUUUGAAUUAACUGAAUUAGUAAUAGCCUAAUACAUAUAAUAUAUAAUAUAUAAUAUUAUUUAUUAGCUUCGAUUAAUUCAGUUAAUUACUCAAUUUCAAACCUAAUUAACUGUUAACCGAAAUUUUAAAAAACUUUUAACCCACCUUUGACCAAACUAGAUUGGUUAACCGACCGAUUAACCAAAUUAGAUCGAUUCGGUCAAUUAAUUCAGUUUUACCCGAAAUUUGAACACCCCUAGUACUCACAUCCUAUGGCAGCCCAACUAUAUCCAAUGGUUUCAAGAGAUCAUAAGGCCAAAAUAUCCACAAUUACACAUAUUUAAUUAUUGUUUUAAUGCACAUAUCCUCUGUUCAUACACAUCAAUUCAUAUCACAACCUCAUACAAAAGCAUACUUAUCGGUUUCAAUUUAAUUGCACUAUAAGUGUCGCAAAAAUGCUCAUUGAGCCAUUAUAUAUUAGGUCACAUACGUGUGCAUUAAAAUCAUUUUAUCACAUACAAGUAUUCACACAUAUUACCUGUCAUAUCAGCCUCACCUUUCACAACUCAAUAUACAUUAGGCAUAAUUUCAUAACAAGAAAAAAGUAUAAAGAAGGCUUACACUCGGAACUUAGGUUAGGAGUUUCAACUAUGCCUAAGCUCCUGCUUAAUGCUACGAAUUGUGCAUACCAGCAACAACUUCGAGCACUCACUGUUCGCUCUUUCGCUUAUUAGCUGAAAGCUCGAACUAGCUUUUCAUUGCCUUUUGCCUUGCUCGUAAAGGGCUCCAACGGUUCCAAAUCUUCACAAACAUUAAUUACAAAAUAUGUAAAAAUGAUUAACAACCAUAACCACAACAUAAUCAAACAAAAACACAGAUUCUACCAAGCUCCUUUUUAAACCGAAAAUUUCAACUAGUUUAUUCGAAACUCAGAUUCCUUAAUCUAGACCUAUUCCUAUUGCUUAAAAUUAAUUCUAAAAACCUAAUUAUACAUUUAAGAACAUGUCUCAACCUUUAAAAUGCCCAAAAUUUCAAAUUUAAGUUUUUAAAAAAAGUUCGACGUUCAUGACUACUUUGAAAGAAAAAUCAUUAAAUCCUUCAAAUCUUUUAACGAUUGAUUAAAGCAAGUUUUAAAACCUUCUAAUCUCAUCGAAACAAGUCAAAAAAACACCUAGAAACAAUACUUUCGCUUAAAAAUCUAAAUUCUACCAUUAACGACCCAAAUUUCAGCUAACACAUGAAAUACUUGUUUCAAUGGAUUAAGACUUGAUUUGAAAGGCUAGCUACAUCAAAAUCUAAUAGAAAAACAAAACCUUACCUCAAUUGAGAAGAACAACAAAUGGUUGGUUGAAAUUCGAGAAAACCCACUAGGAAAAGAAUGAUGAAAUUAAUGGUGUUCUUGAUGUUUUUUUUUUCUCGAAUUUGAAAGAAAUUUGGUGUUUGGAAGAGGGUGAAAAUCACAAUGGUUCAGUUACUAGAGAUCAAAAUAUUUGAAUGAUGUUUAGGAAUUUACAACUAACGACAAAAGAAAAGGGAAGGGAGAAAUGUGUGUCAACUGUAAGGUGAAGGGGGAAAAUAGGUUGAUUUUUAAAACAUUGGUAUAAUUGCUUUUGAGCUACUCUCAAAUUUAACCCCUUUGCAAAACAGUCCUCUUUUUAAAUUGAAGGCAUUUUUCUCAUUUCUUUCAUAAAUUGGUUUUAUUUAACAAAAAAUACUUUCCAGUUACUAAAUUUUGAAUUCCCAAACUUAAUUUUGGGAUGUGACAACUUUUAUUUUCAAGAAUUUAGCCCCUCUACUUUUUAGAUUUAAAAAUCAAGUCCAAUUGUUAACAUUGUUAAAUUUUUUUGUCAAUUUUAUUGAUGUCACAUUUUUAAACAAAAAAUACUCACUUGGUAGUCAUGUAACUAAACAAAGACGUUGUAAUGAACCUGAAUUUAGAAAAAUAUGUUCAAUAUAUACAAAAACUAUAUAAAAUAUAAAAUUAUAGAUAUAAAAUAAACUUAAUUAAAUAAUGUAAAGAUAAGAAAAUCUCAAAUGUACGUUUGUUUCAUUGAAAACAACUAUUGUAAAAUAUUUUCAAGAAAUCUGCCACACAACCGAAAAUAUUUUAUACAAAUUCAUUCAAAUACCAAAAAAUAUAUAUUUUUCCAAAAAACUAAGUCAUUUUCUAGAAAUCAUUUUCCAAAAGUUAUUUUCAGUAAAACAAACGGAGCCUUAGUUUAUAGUGUUUCACAUUAUUUUUUUCCUGUCAAGCUUCACAUAAUGUAAUUCAUAAGAUAGAAUUCCUUUGUUUCAUUUCUUUUGAAACUAUGAUAUUUGAGUUUAAGUGUUAAUUACAUUAGAAUAAAUAUUAAAUAUAUUAUAUUAUGAUUAUUAUAUAAAAUAAUAUUAAAUAUGAUCAAGUUUGGGUUUGAAAAUUUCUAUCCAAAGCCCAAGGCCCAACGUAUUUUUUUAAUGGGUUUUUUUGCCCACACUUUGAGUCUCUUUCUUUUUCCAUAACUUACAAAAUUUUGCCCAAGUCUUCAAGCUUGUGUCAGUAGUUCAACCCUUAAAGGUCUAUUUCAAAGAAAUAAAAAAUUAUUUAUCAUCAGCUUAGAAACUAACACAAUUUGUAAUAGAAAAUAAAAUAUGGUUAACAACACUAAAACUCUACCACCAAGUCACGAACACAUUUCAUCUCUGCACGCCAACUUUGUCAUAAUCUCCACCUUAUAAAAUACAAUAAAGAAACACAUAUCAUGAACUUCAUACCUAUAUAGUUCUAGCUUUUUAAAUAGAUGUCACAACUUUCAUGAUCAAACCUGUAAAAGAUUAAUGUACCGAAAAACAAUAAUUUUCCUUUAAUAAUAAAUUCACAAACAAUUUCAGAAUCUAUAGUCUAUAGUACAUUCUUUUCCCUUUUCCGAUCAAACAAUUAUUAAAGUCUCUAAUAUUUCAUCACAUGGUUUUCUCCUUAACAAUCUUACACAAUGUAUAUACAUUGACUAUUACCAUUGUCAUUAAAUAAAGUUUUUAAACUUUACUAUUUUUUCUAAAAAACGAGUAAAAUAAAUAAAAUUAUCUAAAAAUAGACAUCAGAAUUUGAACUUACAAAACACAAUCACCAUAAGUCACUAAACUCUAAUGAAAAGGAAAAUGCAACAAAAUGUUCACUAAAACAAACCAGCAUAAUAUUGCCAUGGUAAAAUCAUACUAUAGCCCCUAAAGUGACGUUGCUCCUACUUUCACUACACCAAAACAGGUUUUUAACAGCGUUUUUUAAGCCUCCGCUAAAAGUAUUUACGGCGUUUUUGAAAGCGCCGCAAAAAAUGCCGCUGCUGUAAACGCCGCAAACAUGAAAUAAACGCCGCCAUAGAUCAUGACCUUUAGCGGCGCUUUUCCCACAAACGUCAAUAUAGAUCAAGACCUUUAGUGCCGCUUUUUCCAAAAACGCCGCUAUAGAUCAGGACCUUUAGCAGUGCUUUUCCACAAACGCCGCUAUAGUUCAAGAUCUUUAACGGCGCUUUUUCUACAAACGCCGCUAUAGAUCAAGACCUUUAACGGCGUUUUUCCAACAAACGCCACUAUAGAUCAAGACCUUUAGCGCCGCUUUUUGAUACAAACGCCGCUAUAGAACAGACCUUUAGCGGCGCUUUUCACAAAAACGCCGCUAAAAACAUAUCUUUAAAAAAAAUUUUAAAUAAUAUUUAUUUCUAUGAUAAAUAUUAUAUUAUUUUUUAAGGAUAAAUAAAAAAAUAUUUUUAAAUUAAAUUUUCUACGAAAAAUUUAUCUUUAAAACUAAAUAUAAAAAUUAAUGAAUUUAAAUUUAGAAUUUAAAAUAAUAAAUUAAUAACACAAUUAAAAUUCAAAAGUUAAAACUCUUAAGUAAAAAUAAAAAUUUAGAAUCAAAACUAAAAUAAAUAAUACAUAUGCAAGGUAAUAAAACAUACAAUGCAUUUUCUUAAUCAAGUAAAUCUUGGUAAUAAAAGAAAUAAUACAUUUAUUUAAUCAAGGAAAUCUUGUAAUGAACUCAAAGCAAUGAGCAUCAGAAUUGAGAAGAAAAAAAGAAUCACGAUACACAAACGAGAUCCAGAACUUCUGUUCCUUUGGACGCCCACACUGGGUAGUCCCCGCUUCAACGCCAUUGGAUAUCAGAGCCUAAUAACAACAAUAGCAGCAGCAAAAUCACUCAUCAAAAGGUGGAAAAAGGAUAACUACAAGUUAACAGUGAGGAGAUCGCGUGAAACAUAAAGCAGCAGAUCCGUAUCGAAGCUAGUUGGAAUGGAAAUCCAUGGGAAAGCAAGCAUAGAUUAAAACUUCAUAGAACUUUCUCUAAAAUCUUCAUAGUAAACUGCUUCAGUCUACUUUUUACUUUACUUGUACAACAAUUACAUGAAAUGCCAAAAUAAAAAAUAUGGGUCUGCGCCACAGAAUCCAUGAAAAACUUCAUAGAACUUUCUCUAAAAAUUUACUCGCCAAUGUUCUCAACCUUUUUUUCAGGAAUUUGGAGCAUGCAGAAACCAUAUAAUUUAACUAUCCCAUUUUACAGUGAAAGCUAGGAACACACAAGAAACAGAUGAAAAAGGAUAAAUCUAAUACCCGUAAAGCAUCUGUAACUUGGCAUCCUUGUAGCCCAUCUUUUUGCAGAGACCAUCUAUUCUCAGCAUUUUUCUUCUUUGAAAAACCCGUAAAAUAUGGGUUUUGGUGUUAAAUAAUGCGACUGCCAUCAAUAUCAAGGUCGAAAUCAUAUCUCAUUCUUCCAUAUUAAGAAAAGUAUGCUAAAAAAUGAGGGUUAGAAAAUAAAGUUUAAAACAUACACAAUUGAUGUAAGUAUAGGGUUAGAACUGUAUGAACAUUAAGCAAAAUAGCCAAUUUAAAUUCACUUAACAACAUUAAGAAAAAUAAGUCUGGUUGAAAGAAAUGGAGCCAGGAGAGAAGAGAAAAACCUGUUCAGCAAUGCUAGCUGCCUCAGCAAGCCUAUGAAGAAAUAUAUUAGAUAAGCCUAAAUUAACUAAGGCUCUCCAUUCAAUAAAUUUCUUGUACUAACUUAUUAAACCAGAGAAGUACAAAGAGCAUUAUGGUACUGCUUGCAUGAACAUGGAAAACAAGUUGCCAUGACAAAAUGAAAACACGAGUAUAGGUCUUAAAAAAAUAAUAAGAUAAAUAAAUAAAUAUAUUAUAGUAAACAGGAGAGUUAUAAGAAGGAACCAUGAACCUUGAGAGCCAAGAAAACAGGAGAGUUAAAACAAACCAAUUAAUAAUAUUUACCAAGUUUUAUUAACUUUAUAUAUAUAUAUAUAAUGAGAAUAAAAAGAAAAAGAAAAUAAUACCUACUCUUCUCUAUAUCUGGGAGGUCUGUCCUUGAAUCCCUUUCAAUGAUCACCUGGAAUAUAAACAAACAUAUAAUAGACAGACAAAAAAAAGUGAUCAAUAACCAUCAUUUAUGGUUGAGGCUGACACAAUGUUUGAGCCUAUAGCUGUAAUUAGCAGGUUAAUAAUUCAAAAAUAAAGUGACCAAAAAUUAUUACAUCCAAGAAAACCCUUUUCAGACCAAAAUUUGAUUAAUCAGAUACUGUAAUAACAAUUAGGAACCUUGGCCCCCUUAGUAUAGGCAAACUACAUUUCUAGCCUCUUCUAAAAAUUCUUAACUUAAUUUAAGCCCUUUAGCCCCUUAAAUAAAUGUUAAAAUUCCCUUUUUGGCUACUCCAAAAAUUUAAUAAAUAUAUUAUGGAAAAAUAAUAUGCAGCAUCCGUGAUACAUAUGCUUCUACCUCUAUAGCAAGAAGGAAUGAGAGAAACGUUAUACCUCUGCUCUCUUUUUCCUAGUGGCGACAUGCAGUGCAGUGUUACCGAACUUGUCCGGGAGCAUCACAAUAGCCGCAUCUGCCUCAAAAGGAUGGCACCGCAUCAUUCUCACUAGUCAAUAAAUCAUAUAGCAGAUGGCGAUAAGCAUUUCAUAACAUUAGUGUGACAAUAUUGAAUAUGUUGUCUUGCACUUCAAAUCUCCAUCAUAGUUCCCAAAUAAUCAUAAUUUCUUUUGUUUUGUCGUAGACAAACAAACUUGCUGCAAGGAAUGGAUUAUAUAUGACAUUAAUCAAAGGCAACCAAGUAAAAGUAAUCCAUUUUUACUUUUUGGUUCAAAAUAGUCUAUCCCCCAUUUACCAACAUCUUUCGAGCUAUCAAACAUAGCUUUAUCAUCAAAUUUAUUCAUCAGACUUUGAGACCAACUUGAACCAGUACUUUUACUAAAUACCAUAUUCACAAGAACUUGACUAACCAAUUGAAAUCAAAUAACAGCACAAGCAAAAUCACAAAACGAAAGCUAAAAAUCAUUACCAUGGUGCCCUUGGCUUGCAGCAAUAUGCAAUGGAUCAAACCUAGAUUUGUUCUUCUUAGUAACGGUCUCUUUGUUUGAGUAUUUUAACAACUCCUUGACAACAUCAAGAUGCCCUUUCUUUGCAGCAGUAAACAAGGCAGUCUCCCCCAACUCAUUCACCUCGUUUACCACACUAGCCUGUAUCUCUGAAACCUCCAUAUUGAAAUCUUCCCCACUCGCAGUCUUCAUCAUCUGAGAAUCAAUGUCCAUCUCAGGAAUCUUCAGCAUUGAUCGAUCCACGUGAACUCCACACCUUGUAAAGAAUCACCACUCAAACUCCUACAACUAUUAUCAACAGAAAUAAUCUAAGAAAUAUAUACUGAAAGCAAUAGAAAUAAAAAAGAACACCUCUUGAACAGGAGGAAGUGCGGCUCUUCUUAGUUUUUCUCUUGACAUUUUCCCUUGAAAUCCUGUUUCAUUUCUAGUUCUUCAAUGGAAAGAAAGUACUAAUUUUUCUUCUUCUUACUCAGAAAGAUCUGAUUGAAAGGGAAAAUGGGAAAUGGAAAAAGAAUUAAGUACAAACUUUUAUUUGGGAGCAUUUAGGGCGCUCGAUGGAUAUGAGAAAAAGAGGGAGUAAUGAGCGGGGUAAUCAAAAAUUAUGUUUGGGGAGUGGGCGGGAUUUUGAUUAAUUGUUGCGGCAUUUCUCUCAAAAAAGCAGCAAAAAAUUAUUUAUUUUGUACAAAACGAUGCCGUUUUGUUCUGUUGAAAAUUUCAAUAUAUUUUUAAAUCCACAUGUCAAUACAUAUGAAGUCUAUUUAUUAUAUAUCUCUUAAAUAAUUUUAACUAUACUCAUAAUUUCAAUAUAUUUAAUUUAUUAUUAUCUCUUUUAUAAUUAUAUAAGAACAUAUUUAAAAUAUAAAUUAAAAAAAUAAUUAAUCUAAACCAAAACCCUAACCCAACCCCUGAAUCUCUAAACCCUAAAUUCCUAAUUCUUAAUCCCUAACAUCUAACUCCUAAACCCUUAGCCCCAAAACCUUAAAUCCCAACCCUUAAACCAUAAUCCCUAAAUUCAUACUACCUAAACCUUAAAAUAUGAACUCCUAAACCGGCCUUAAAUCUUAAAUUAAUCAUAUACCCUAAACUAAAAACCCUAAACAAAUUUAUUAUUAUCUCUUUUACAACUAUAUAAGAACAUAUUUAAAAUAUAAAUUAAAAAAAUAAUUAAUCUAAACCCAAAACCCUAACCCGACCCAUGAAUCCCUAAACCUUAAAUCCCUAACUCUUAACCCCUACAGCACGUUUGGUUCGCUGUAUUGGAAUAGAGGCGUAAUGGAAUAGAGGUGUAAUGGAAUAGAGAUGUAAUAGCAAAUCAAUUGUUUGGUUGAAUGUAAUGGAAUAGAAGCGUAAUAGUAUUCUUGUGUUUGGUUGAAUAGAAUAGAGGUGUAAUAGCAUAAUGGAAAAAACUAAAAUGACUAGAAUACCCUUAGCAUAAAUUUGUUUUGGUAAAUGAUUAUUGUUAUUGUUAUUUAAAUUUUAAUAAGAUUAUUAAUAUCAAUAAUAAAUAAUUUAAUCAUAUUUAAACAUAAUUAUUAUUAAAUAUAUUAUAAUUAAAAUAUAUAAUUUAAUAAAAUUCUUAAUAAUCAAUAUUCUUAUAUGAAUUUACUCAAAUCAUAAUAUAUAAUACUAUAAAAUAUAAUUUAAAAUAAUUAUUAUUAAAUAUAAUUUAAUAAAAAUAUAUAAUUUAAUCUAAAGUUUGAAUGUGUAUUUACCUAGCAAAAAUUAACGAACUCUCGUGUAACUAUAACCUAAUAAUAUAUGAUGUAUAAUUAAUAUUUCGUGACUAAUUAAUAGCAUANNNNNNNNNNNNNNNNNNNNNNNNNNNNNNNNNNNNNNNNNNNNNNNNNNNNNNNNNNNNNNNNNNNNNNNNNNNNNNNNNNNNNNNNNNNNNNNNNNNNGUAUACAAUUAAAAUAUUAUAAAUAAAAUAAUAGUAAAUGAUAUAUAAGAUAAAUUAACAUAUAAAUAAUUUAACUUAUAUAAUUUAAAAUAAUUAUUAUUAAAUAUAAAUUCUUUAAAAAGAAUUUAUUCCCCUUUUUUUAUGUAUAUUUGUUCUUGGUGGCUAAAUUCUAUUCCAACUGUUCAUAUGUUUUUUCAUGCCUCAGUCAGUUCCUUUGUACAACAGCAAUACAUAGAACAGAUGCAUUUAGAAGCAAAAUUUAUACUAAAAGUAGAAUUUGGAAGCUAUAGAAUAGAUGCCAAAAGAUUUACAAUUGUAGGUUUUUCACUUCUCUUGAAUCUGAAAACACUUGCAAGCAAUCAGGAUUUUGAACUUUGCAGAAAAGCUCACCAAUCUCACAAAUAAUUUACAAAGUAAUGGAACUGGUAUAAAAAAAUACACCCACACAUCUUGUCGUCCGUAUUUGCGGUUCGGAACGGCCAACAAAUCGAGCAAAUCCUGAACCAAAAACCUUUCUCCUUCUUUGGUGGUGCUGCCUUGGUAUCCCUCUUGGCAACGAGAUCAGCCAUGAACUCAACAACAGCCUAAUGUAGAAAGAAGUUGAAUGAGUUAGUAGCUCAUAAGAAAUCAAAUAGGCAAGGUCCCAGCAAGUUAAAUUUGUGGCUAUUACUUCACAAUGUACCUAUUAAAAUUUAUUGUAACCUACUUAAGUUCCAUGUACCAAAGGAAAAGCACAAGAAUAAACUAGAAUUAAAGUUGGAUGAUAGAAUUUGCUUUUGAUAGAAAUAUUGACAACAUCAAAACACACAUUCAAAUUUAUGGAUUUUCUUAUCCCGAAAUUUGUAGUUUCAGAUUAAUAUAUCAAACCUAGCAGUACAUCUCUCAAAUCAUAUAUUAAUAUUCUCAUGAAAUAAAUUUUCAUUUGUUUUCUCAAUAAAGACAAAUCAAUUGAGACACAACCCACCAGGCUUUGGCUACCAGGAUUGCACGACAUGCCUGCCAGUUAUGUUUGUAACUUGUGCUUUAAAAUUAAGUUCAAUUAAUUGCUUAAAUCUAUAGCCCCUGAAAUAAGAAGAAUAUAAAACAUGGCAUAGCUACAUUUUCACUCUUUCCAAAUUAUACAAUCAAACAAUACAUACACACACAGACAUGUAUCAAAUUCUAACCGUAUACAACUUGACAGUUUCACAUCUCUGAAUAGUUCAUGAGUUUCAACCAAAGGAUUACAGAAGUUGCAGUAAAAGACAGUGAUUGUUUUUUUAUUGCUUCUAACUACAUUAUGGUCUCAAAGAAAAUGCAAACCUCAAAUGGAGGGGAAAACAAGUGCAAGUGACCAUAAAUAGCUAUGCAUUUCAAUGCUCAAUUAGAUAACCAACACUCAUAUUUGUGCAUAAAGUGUAGUGUGAAAUUCUUUAUAUCUUUAUUAGGACAUUCUAUGUAUAAUAAUCUAAACUUAUACAUUCUAUGUAUAAUUAUCUAAACAUAGAUAAUAAAGUUGCACUUUGUUGCUAGAAGCAGCAUGACAAGGUCUAAGGUAACAGAAAACAUGUGAAUUGAGCUAUAAAGUCAGUAUGGUGCUGAUGUAGCACAUACACGAAUAUAUAUAUCCGCUUAAUCCAACUGUCAUGUUUCAUACCUAUGUUACUCGGACUUGGGUGUGAGUGUUGGAUACAGCUAUGUAUCCGAUAUGGUUAAGCCUUUCUAAGGUUUCCCAUGUAUUCGGAGGAUCUUUAGAGGUAAUAACUCCAUAUCCACAUGUCGGACACAAGUGCUGGACAUGGGUACUUCAAGAAAAAUUAUUCAAGCAGAUCAUGCCCAUCAAAUUUCCAAGUAAUUAAAAACUUCUUAACAUCAUUUGAUAUAAAUAAUUUCAAACCAUCAAAUAUAUAUAUAAAAAGACAAUAUUCAAGAUAAGGGCGAUUAAAUAUAAAAAUAAGGGCAAUGAAAUGGAGAUGUAAAUACAAUACAAAAAAGGUAAAAGAAGCUAAACCUUUCAUCUGCUUCAUUUUCUACUUCCUCAUUUGGCUCAGGUUCCUAGCAGCCAAGCCAUAGAAGAGUCAUAAUUUUUAACUGUAACUCAAAGCAUAAUUUUUAAAGCUGCAUCAAGCAAACAAGUUAUAAAGCUUAAGAACUAACAUAGAUAAUACAAGUAUAUAUAUGUAUAUGGAAUCUGAAAAUUUACCUGCAACAUCUUGAUUAUCAUAAGUGGCACGAUAAACAGUCCCAUAGGUGCCAGGAGCUAUAACAUUCAUUAAAUCCAACUUAGCCAAAUCAAUCUCCCAUUCCUCAGCUGGCCUUUGUUUCUCAAUGUUCCUAGACCAAACUCGGCUCAGGUGCUUCUCUAGUUGCAUGUCUAAGCUUUUUAAAUCAAUUUGAUCAGCUCUAAAGAUCAUGUCUUUGCCACUAAUGCUUCCAUUGCCCUUCAUCUUUGAAUUUCCACCUCCUUCUAGUCCAUCUUGUUUCUUUGGUGCCUUGAUACCAUUAUCUUCCUCACCAAUUUUAAAAUCCAUAGUUAAAAGAAUAUAACAAAAUCACCAAAUAAAAAAACACAAUUAAAGACCCUUAAACUACAAAACUGAUAAUAACAAUGGAAUUUAAACUCAAAUUAAAAAAUAAGUUGUAAGAUUCCCCAAUUCAGGACAAGAGGAUUAAAUAUCAAUCAAAUAUACAUAUGAUCGGAUAAAAAAAACCCAGUUUCACCAACCCCAAAUCCUAUUAGAACCCUGCAUUCAAAAUUGAACUUAUAACCCAAGAAAGAGAAACAGGCAUGCAAAGUAGAGUAAGCAAAUUAGAAAAACAAAAUAGUUUUUUUUUAUUAAUUAAAAAAACCAUUUAAAAGAAGUUUUUGAAAGAGAAAUUCAGGACGAAAAGGCAAACAGAUAAACAAGAAUUCCAAAUCCAUGAUCCUGAUUCCAACUAUACCCCAAGAUCUUAUAUUUCUAAGUUAUAAUAAAAAGACCCCCAAAUUUCUAAUUAAUGGACAUGACAAGGGAGGACAAAUAGGGUAUUUAUUCCUUGUUUUAACUCAUGCAAAAGGUGCUUUAUUUUGUUUUGGCUCAGCUCCUGGCAGAGAAGAGAAAAGCAAAACAAAAUCAAAAUCAAAAUUGAUUUCACAGAAAAGAAAAGAAAAACAGGGAAAAAAUUUAGAAGAAGAAGCAGAAAUCUGGAGAAAAGAAAAUGGAGAAAAGAAAAGAAAUGUGAGAAGAAAAGAAGUGUACCGUACCAGAAGAAGAAGUAGAAAUCUAGAAAAGAAAAAAUUGGGAAACGUUGGGAGAGGAUGAGGGCAGAAAAUGGAAAAUAAAAUUGGGAAUUGAUGGGGAUUCCUUAUUACCCGCUUCAAACUCAGAAUGGCUAUUACGGCCAGUAUCAGUAAUAGAGAGGGAAGGGAAUAGGGGUGUAAUACGAUUACACCCAACCAAACGUCUGUUUGGUGGUGGGCCCAGGGAAUAGGGGGAAUGCAUCCCUAUUCCCCCAACCAAACAUGCUGCUAAUGUCUAACCCUUAAACCCCUAACCCCUAAACCUUAAAUUACAACCUUUAAACUAUAAUCCCUAAUCCAUAAUCACUAAACCCCAUACUCCCUAAACCUUAAAAUAGUAACUCCUAAACCGACCUUAAAUUUUAAAUAAAUCAUAUACCCUAAACCAAAAACCCUAAAUUAUAGUGAUAACUAAUUCAAUAUUUUAAAAUUAAUACUAUCUCUUUUACGAUUAUAUAAAAAAAAUUUUAAUAUAUAAACUAAAAAAUAAUCAGUAAUCAAGUACCCAAAAAACUUUAAAAUUAUUUUAAAUAAUAGUAUUUUAAUUUUUCCAUGUGUUUUAUUUCAAAUUAUUUCUACGUGUCAUUAUUUUUUUCUGAAGAUUUUAAAUAUUCAAUUAGAAAUAAAUUGAAUUUUAUUUAAUAUAAAUAAACCAAUUAAGAUAAAAAAUUUUAAUAUAUAAAUUAAAACUAUAAUCAUAAUUAAUUAAAUAUAUUAAACCGACCUUAAAUCUUAAAUUAACCAUAUACCCUGAGCCAAAUAUAUUAAACCCUAAACUAUAAUGAUAAUUAAUUAAAUAUUUUAAAAUUAAUACUAUCAUAUCUUUUACAAUUACAUAUGAAAUUAUUUAAUAUAUAAAUUAAAAAUCAAUCAGUCAUGUACCCAAAAAAUUUUAAAAUUAUUUUAAUUAAUAGUAUUUUAAUUUUUCCACUUUUAACAAAUAUUUUUCUCUGUUUUUUAUUUCAAAUUAUUUCUACGUGUCAUUAUUUCAAAUUUAUCCAUUUUUAACAAAUAUUCAAUUAAAAAUAAAUUGAAUUUUAAUUAAUAUAAAUAAACAAAUUAAAUAGUAAAUAGACAGAAAAAAAUGUUUUUGUGGCUCUUUUUCAAAAAACGCCGCUAAAGCCCUGAAAGGUCAAAAAACAAUGUCGUUGGGCUUAGGUUUUUUGCGGCGCUUUUUCAAAAAAGCCACUAAAGCUCUGAGCAUUAGCGGCGCUAUUUUAAAAACGCCGCUAAAGCCCUGAAAGGUCAAAAAACGAUGUCGUUAGGCUUAGGUUUUUUGCGGCGCUUUUCCAAAAAACGCCGCUAAAGCUCUGAGCAUUAGCGGCGCUUUUUUAAAAACGCUGCUAAAGCCCUGAAAGGUCAAAAAAAUGAUGUCGUUGGGCUUAGGUUUUUUGCGGCGCUUUUCUAAAAAACGCCGCUAAAGCCUUAAAAGGUCAAAAACGAUGUCGUUGGGCUUAGGUUUUUUGCAACGCUUUUCCAAAAAGCACCGCUAAAGCUCUGAACAUUAGCGGCGCUUUUUCAAAAAUGCCGCUAAAGCACUGAAAGGUCAAAAAACGAUGACGUUGGGCUUAGGUUUUUUGCGGCGCUUUUCCGAAAAACGCCACUAAAGCUCUGAGCAUUAGCGGAACUUUUUCAAAAACGCUGCUAAAGCAUUGAAAGGUCAAAAAACGAUGUUGUUGAGCUUAGGUUUUUUGUGGCGCUUUUUUAAAAAACGCCGCAAAAGCCUUGAAAGGUCAAAAACGAUGUCGUUGGGCUUAGGUUUUUUGCGGCGCUUUUUCAAAAAUGCCGCUAAAGCCUUGAAAGGUCAAAAAACGAUGUCUUUGGGCUUAGGUUUUUUGCGGCGCUUUUUCUUUAGUGACGUUUUCCAAAAAGCGUCGCUAAUGCUCGAUCUUUAGCGGCGUUUUUUGAAAAGCGCCACUAAUGCUUGAUUUUCAGCGGCGUUUUUAUCCAAACGCCACUAAAAAUGCCGCUAAAAGCCUAUUUUGGUGUAGUGUUUGACAAGUGAAUCAACUUAUUUGUCCUAGGAUAUAGUGGUGCAAUUGAAAAUCUAUUUAUCAUUACUAAUCGCUACAAAUUUAAUAUCUUCAUUAACAGAUCACAGUCGUUUAAUGACUGAGAUGGGUAACAAAACCAUUGAAUCAGACUAGCACGGUAAUUCUAUUGAUGCGAGAGUUCCUCCAAAUAGAAUUGGCAAAGACAAGAAUAGCCUCUUUUAUCGCUGACAAUUUAGUUGAAAUAGGAUUAACAAUACUAAUAAAUUUAGAAAAAAAAACAUUUUUCAAAGCAUAAUAAACAUUAUAUAUAUAUAUGACCCUCUUAUAGGUUGUGAAUUUUGAACUAAUGAACAUUAAUUAAAAUUAAAAAAAAAUUUAAUGGAAAGAUCUUAAUCCACUUUUAUUCUAUAUUGAUUUAAAUUCAAUGUUUAGCUUCUAUUUUUUUGUUUAGUUUUUGAAAUCAUCUUAAAUUAAAUGUUUAAGGGUAAAAAAAAGUCUACAGAAAAAAAUUAAAAAAAAUUAAUUCAGCUCUUAAAAAAAUUGCACCCUUUUGAGUUCUUAAUUAUAAAAAAAAAGAGUUAACUAAACCAUUCUGUUAACAGAAAUCAUUAGUUAACCAGUUUGAUCAUUAAAGGCGCUAACGUGAUUGACGGUAGACAUCAACAAAAACUAAAUUUAAAUUUUAAAAAAAUUAUAUUUUUUUUAAAAAUAAUUAAUAAAAAUUACAUCUGGAAUGAACUUGGACAUAUUGUUGUAUUGGUUUGUUUGAAUCUAGACAACAGUUUGUCUAGAUUCGUUGUAGAUGAGUUAAAAAAUAUAAAAAAUAUAGAAAUUAUAAAAAAAUAUUAAUAAAUAUUUAAAAAUUCUAAAAAACUAAAAAUUGAAAAGAUCCAAAUUUUAAUAUUUUUAAUUUUUAUUAAUAAUUUAUAUAUAUUAAAAUUUUAAAAAGUUCAAAUUGAAAAAUUGAAUUACUAUUUUUAUAUUCGAAUUUUGUAUAUAUAACUUAUUAUUAAAAUUUUAUCAAUAAAAAUUAUAUACAAAAUUGGAAUCUAAUCUUCCCAACGUGAAUUAAAAAAAUAUUAUUAAAAAAUUAUAGAAAAAUUUCAUAUUGUUUGUGCCGGGAAUGAGGUGAGCAUUCUUUCUCAAUUUUAAGUCCUAUCUUUCUUUCACUACACCAAAACAGGCUUUUAGCGGCGCAUUUUUAGGCCUUUAGCGGCGCUUUUUAGCACCGCUAAAAGUAUUUGCGGCGCUUUGACAAGCGCCGGAAAAAACGCCGCUAAAGACCACGUCACUAUCUUUAGCGGCGUUUACGGAGAAAAACGCCGCUAAAGACCAAGACCCUUAGUGGCGCUUUUCCCACAAACGUCGCGAAGGACCAAGACCUUUAGCGGCGCUUCUCCCACAAACGCCGCUAAAGACUAUGACCUUUAGCGGCGCUUUCCCCACAAACGCCGCUAAAGAUCAAGACCUUUAGCGGCGCUUUUCCAACAAAUGCCGCUAAAAACCAUGACCUUUAAUGGCGUUUUUUAAAAAACGCCACUAAUUUUGGCAGAUUUGUAAAAGAAAUUUUUUUAUAUUUUUAGCCCUCCUGUAAAAACAAAUCAGAAGAAACCAAAUAGAAACCAACCAAAAGUAAUAAAUCUUUAUAAUAUAUACAAUUAAACGAAUAAUAUAUAAUAAAUAUCAAUAAUUAAAAUAAAAAUCGUAUUAUUCUUACAAAAAUGUUAAAUUUUAAAAUAAUAAUUAAAAGUCAAAAUUGAAACAUAUUUACACGAUAGUCUAAGAUGGCGGCUGUUGCGACUGCUGAAACAUCUUCAUCAUAUUCUGAAGCUGCAGCUGGAGUUCAUCGAACUUUCUACGCUGCUCUGCUUCUCUCGCUGCAGCAUCUGCUUUAAGCUGUAGCUGGAGUUCUUCAUACUUUCGUUGAACCUCAGCUUCUCUCGCUGCUGCCUCCGCUUUAAGUUGUGUAAUUUGCUCAACUGUUGUCGCUUGCAUCUGAGCCAUCUGGUCUCUUAACCUCUGAACUUCAGCUUGAGCCUGACUCCCCGAAGGCAUGUAUUGUUACGAGUUGGAUCCAAAAUAUUGGGUUGGGCUAACAAAAGAUCUUUGGAAUCGAACUCGACCGUACCUUUCAGGACCCAAAACAUCAGUGAUAAUUCGGUUAUCAAUGUCGAAAAUAUGAACAGAACUAUCACUGGAAGCCAUCGCUUCGUACUUCGCUUUUUUAUCCUUUAGUUUUUCCUAAUAAAUAAAUCACAUAGUUAGGAACGCGAUAUAUAUUAAAAAAAUAAAUGCAACAUAACUUAACAAUAUUUGCAUUACAAUAAAUGAAAUAAACCAUUAGAAAAUAAACACUAUAAAUAAUUAAAACAAGUCAAAUUGUAUUAAGCAAACGUACCAUAAUUUCUGUAGCUUCAGGAGCCAUAGGGUUUCCAUCGUUCUUCCUAUGUGUAAUGUCAAAAAGUUGAAGGCAUCCAACUUUUUGACCGGACGACAGUUCCUACAAUACAGUAGUAAAAAUAUUAUUUGAUAGAAAGUAUAUAUAUAUGACAAAAUUACAAAAUUAAUACUACCUCGGCCUGAGCUACACAAGCAAAACUUUUCGACCCAGUUGUGUGAGUGAAUUUCUGUUUCUGCCUACUACUUUUUCCAACUCGUUCAAGAUCCUACAUUAUGGAAUUAUUAGUACGUUAAUUAGUAACUACUAUAAACCAAAAUAAUUACAAGAUUUUUGUAGUAACACAUACCUCUCCUUUCUUCGAAGUCCAAAAUCUAACGACCUCUUCCCACUGAUACCUCAGCAUUCCCGGCGGGACAUUUUGUAAUUUCUUGUCCAGUGUUGUUUUUGUCUUAAAAUAGUCUUUCUUUAAAGUGCUCUUAUGGUCUCUCCAUCUUUUUCCCAAUGCCUUCUUUACAUAAGCAUCGGAGACCUCUAGAGCAAAUCUCGCCUACAAAAAACACAAGUUAAGAAAGUAAAUAUAAAUGAAACUUAAACCCAAGUAUUAUAAAUAACAUUAACUUUUUGUUACCUUAAUUUUAUCGAGAGUUUGGUUCUUGUUACUAUCGGGCAUUGCUCGCCAUGACUCGUAGUUAAUUGGCAACAUAUUUGCAUUCCAUGCAAGAAUGCCCAAGUAUCCUACUAAAAGGCGAGCUUCUGAUCCAACAGGCUGACCAAAGCUAUUACUGUAGACUUUGACACGCUCGACUAGAUCUAGCUCGUAUAAAUCCCUAAGUAGCGUACGUCCUCGAACUCUUCGCGUCCCACCACUUUCAGCUAAAAAAUAUUAUAUUUUAAUAUAAGAAUUUAAAAAAUAAACAAUAUGUCAACACACAUGUAAAUUAAAUGUUAAAUUACUUUGAACUUGUGUAGGUUCCUCAAGUGUAACCGGAACAUUCGAAGAUCCGAUAGUAGUCUAUUGUCCAGUGCUGUUUGCUUCCGCCGAGUUUGGAGUAGCUUAAACAAUGCCUAGCUCUCGCACUUUUCUUCUAGGCAUUUUAUCUGCAAUACAAAUAAAAUAGUUGAAAACUUAGUAUACAAUUACAACAAUAAUAGCACAUAUAAAAUAGUUGAAAUAUAUAAUAAGAGCAAUAUUUAUAUUAUUAUAUUACAUAUAAAAAAUAAUCGUAAAAGCUUACUACAUUAUAAGUCGUAAAUAUCUUCAUCCAUAUCUUGGCGAACCCAUUGAAAUUGUGUACUAGUACUAGGAAUGUUUUCGCUUAAGUUUUGUUUUGGAAAGGGCAAAGUUUGUGUUCUGUCAUCAAUGCCAUCUCUACUUCCACUGCCCAUGUCAAACAAGUCUCUAGGGAUGUUACGGAGUACAACGUGCCAACCCUCAUCAGUUGGAUCUUUUGAGUAAAAAAGUUGUUUGACUUGAGAAGAAAAUACAUACGGCUUAUCAAUCAAUUGUUGUCCUCCGUGAAUCAAUCGAGCGAAGUUCACCAUUGUGAAACCAAAUUGAUCUUGCUUGAUUCCACGAGCAGUAUUAACAUCGGCCCAAUCACCUCGAAAUAAGACAACUUUCCAUUUGCCGUAGUAAUCCAACUCAAUUAUGUCAGUAAAAAGUCUGAAAUAUUCCACAUUUCCCUCGACAGGAUUAUUGUUCCUAGCACUAGCAUAACUUGUAAUUGAGGAAUUAACAACUAUUCCACAAUUUUGCGUUCUCCUCAAUCUCUCGCGAUAUUUUGUAUGAAAUCUGAAUCCGUUGAUGAGGAACGCACUGUAUCUUUUAACCACCCGAUUUGGACCUUGGGAAAGCCAUUUAACUUCGUCGGUGACGUUCUUCCCGCUCCAAACCUAUUAAAUGGAAAGUAAACUGAGUAAUUAAAAAUGUUAUGAGAAAACAUUAUGAAUUGUCGAUGAAAGCUCCAAUUGCAUAUCGUUUGGCUUAACCAUUCAUGGAAAGAUUCUAUGAACAACUUAUUGAUAUCUCGAUGUUGUGUUCUUAGAGAGCGCGAACGAGAUCUCAAUAUUUGUUUGUACUCACUACGUUAAAAAUAUAUUCAGUUUGUUAGAAGAUAAACAAUAUUUGAUUGAUGAAUAUUUAUCAAAUUUCUAGAACUUACUUGCGUAAAGGUCCCAUUGAUUCGUGGUGAAACAGAACAUAUCGAUGUGCUUGUACCCAUGAUAAAUCAUCUAAUUCUGCAAUUUCAACUUUACCGAUUGCUUCUCCAAAACUUUGGAACAAAUAAGUAUCGGCGAAGUUAUGAUCCGUGAGUCCAGCAUUUCUAUUUGGUCUGUUCAACCUUGUUUCAACAUCUUCCAAAUAUCUUGAACAGAAGGUCAUACAUUCCUCUGCCAAGUAGCCUUCAGCAAUCAAUUCUUCUGGAUAACGCUUGUUGCGGCAGUAAGACUUUAAUUUGGAUAGGAACCUAAACACGAUAUACAACAUUAUCAAAUGUUGUAAGUAAAUGCAUAUAGCUGAAUGAAGGAAAAUUUUAAAAAUUUUAAUUAACACAUUUCUAUGGGAUACAUCCAUCGAUAGAAAACGGGUCCGCCUAGAAUUACUUCAUGUGGGAGAUGGAUUAUCAAGUAAACCAUGAUAGUGAAGAAGGAAGGUGGGAAGAUUUUUUCCAAGUUGCAUAAAGUCAAAGCGGCUCGAUCUUGUACCUUCUGAAAUUAUUGAACAUCCAAAACUUUGCCACAAAUGGCUUUCAUUAUAUUGGAUAGUUCAAUUAUACAAGACGUCACCUUUUUCGACAUACAACAUCGUAGAGCAAUUGGCAAUAAAUCUUGCAUUAAGAUGUGAUAGUCAUGUGAUUUUAGCGAAUAUAGUCUUCGAUCUUUAACACUAACACAUCGAGAUAUAUUUGAUGCAUACGCAUCUGGAACCUUUAUAUCCUUCAACACUAUGUAGAACACUUCUUUCUCUGUCUUCGACAUUGAGAAAAUAGAAGGCGGCAACCGAUAUUUCCUAUUUAGAAGUAGAUUCGGAUGAAGAUCAGGUCGAAUUCUCAUGUCGACUAAAUCAAGUUGACUCUGAAGAUUGUCUUUUGAUUUUCUGUCUACAUUCAAAAUUGUACCGACAAUGUUCUCGCAGACAUUUUUCUCAAUAUGCAUAACAUCAAGAUUGUGUCGUAAAAGGUGAUGCUCCCAAUAAGGCCUCAUUAGGAUCAUCCUUUUCAUCGGAGUCAUCAUCAGCUUCAUCAUUUGAUCUUCUAUUUCUUUGUGUGUUUGCCGGUCGGUUCAUCUUCCCAUAACUGAAAUUCAUAUCUUCCAACAUUAACAAGAUUUUAGAUCCACUUGUCUACGAAGAAGCUUCUCUAAACUCUUCAGUACCUUCAAAUGCUGAACUCUGAAAUCUAAAUCUAUGAUUUUUCGGUAACCACCGAUGAUGCCCCAUGUAGGAGAACUUCUUCCCAUUGUAUAACCAUUGCGAACAUGUUUGUGCAGCACAACAAGGACACGCAUAACGACCAUUGGUACUCCAACCGGAUAAAUUAGCAUAAGUGGGGAACUCAUUAAUGGUCCACAUCAAAGCUGCACGUAAAUUAAAGUUCUCCUUUCUCAGCACAUCGUAUGUCUCGACACCAGCCCAUAAUUGUUUUAACUCUUCAAUAAGUGGCUGUAAAUAAAUGUCGAUAUCAUUCCCGGGCCCUUUCUCUUCAGGGAUAAUCAUAGAUAAGAUAAGGGAAGAUUGCUUCAUGCAAAUCCACGGAGGCAGAUUGUAAGGAACAAGCACUACUGGCCAAGUACUUUACGCAGUACUCAUGAUCUUGUAAGGAUUAAAUCCAUCAGAUGCUACGCUAAGCCUCACACUCCUAGGAUCGCUUGCAAAGCUUGGAAAUUUAUAGUCAAAUGAUUUCCAAGCUAAAGAAUCUGUCGAAUGCCUUAACAAUCCAUCGUCUGUUCGUCCAUCAUGGUGCCACGUCAUUGAAUCCGCUGUCUUCGACGACAUGAAAAGCCUUUGAAGCCUUGGUAUCAGCGGAAAAUACCGUAAAAUCUUGACCGGCUUCUUUCUUAGUUGUGCAUCAUUUUCAUCAUUGUUCCCAUCUUCUGUGUUUCUAUUUAUCCAACGGGAUUGCCGCAUACAUGAUAGCACUGUUGGUUUCUCCGAUCACCCCAAUACAACAUGCAGUCAUUCGGGCAACUAUGGAUUUUGUUGUACCCAAGACCUAAGUCUUUUAUCAUUUUCUUCAUAUCUUUGCAUGACUGAGGGAUUUUUGCAAAUGGAAACAUUUCUCAAAAACUCUAACAGCAUUGUCAAUGAGUUCCCGGUCCACCCUCCCAAACAUUUUAACUGGAAAAGACGAACGCAGAAAGGCAUUUUUGAAAAUUUCGAUCCCUCAUAUAGUUCUUCGUUCAUCUCAUUAAGUAGCGCGUAGAACUUCGCCGCUUCUGCAUUCGGCUCUUCAUGAGGUACACCUGUUCCCGGUUCGGUAAAAGCAUUUGCACCAACAUUACAAUCAUCAGAUGCCAUAAAGUCAGCUGGGAACGACUGAAAACCAUGAUUGUGCAUAUUAAUGCAUCCUGCAACAUACCUUCCAUGUCAUCCCCUCCAACAGACUAAUAGUAAACAGUACCAAGAUAAGAUACAUCCAUCGUUGAAGAGGAGGUACUAGGCGGGCAUUCUCCAUGAAAAAGCCAUUUUUUAUAACCCCAAACAAACCCAUCAACAAUUAGAUGCUCGUAUACAACUUCAGGAUAAUGGCAGUUUAUGUUGACACACUUGUUACAGGGGCAAAGAAUCAUGUUCUCUUGGCUUGCAUGUUGAAAUGAAAAAUUUAGAAAACUCUGAACUCCAUUUCGAUAACUGUUGCUUACCCUUGACAAAUUCAUCCAAGAUCGGUCUAUUUUUUAAUUCUUGAAGUCUGAUUUCCACCAAAAAAUACAAUGGUACGUAAGUUGUUCACUUAUAUUUAAAAUUAAAUGAGUUAUGUAAGUUAUGAUAUGAUAUAUAUUUAUGUAUUAAGUAAAUUAUGUAAGUUAUGUAUUAUAUAAGUUAUUUAAGUUAUGUAUUAUGUAACCUAUGUAAGUUAUGUAAGUGUUGUAUUAUAUAAGACAAAUUAAGUUAUGUAGGCUAUGUAUUAUGCAAGUUAUUUAAGUUGUGUAAGUGUUGUAUUAUGUAAGGCAAAUUAAGUUAUGUAGUCUAUGUAUUAUGGAAGUUAUUUAAGUUGUGUAAGUGUUGUAUUAUGUAAGUAAGUUAUGUAUUAUGUAAGUUUUAUGUAAAAUAUGUAAGUUGUAUUUUAUGAAAGUUAUAUAAGUUAUGUAGGCUAUGUUUUAUGCAAGUUAUUUAAUUUCUGUAAGUGUUGUAUUAUAUAAGUUAUGUAUUAUGUAAGAUAUGUAAGUUGUAUUUUAUGUAAGUUAUGUAUUAUGUAUGUUAUGUAAGUAAUGAGUUAUGUAAGCUAUGUAAGUUAUGUAAGUUAUUUAAGUGGUGUAUUAAGUUAUGGAAGUUAUUAUGUAAGUUAUGCAAGCUUAUAUAUAAGUUAUGUAUUAUGUUAUUAUGUAUUAUGUAAUUUAUUAUGUUAUUAUAUAUAAGUUAUGGAAGUUAUUAUGUAAGUUAUGCAAGCUUAUAUAUAAGUUAUGUAUUAUGUUAUUAUGUAUUAUGUAAGCAAAUGAUUGUCAAAGAGUUAUGUAUGAUGUAAAAUUAUUUAUAAGUUAUCAUAUGAUUGUUAAAUUUGAGUUAUUUUGGUUAUGUAUAUUAAAACAAUAUAUAUUUUAUAUAAAUAAAAUAUUUAAAUUUUAAAAAUAUAUAAUUAUUUAGAAAACUUAUAAAAUUGAUACUUAUAAAUUUUAUUAAUAAUAAAUUUAGAACACUUUUUUAGAAAACUUAUAAAUUUAAUACUAAUAAAUUUUAAUACUAAUAAAUUUAGAAAAAUUAUUUAGAAAACUUAUAUAGAAAAUAAAAAAAUAUUUAUAAUUAUUUAGAGAACUUAUAAAUUUUAUAGUAAUAAGUUUUAAAUAUAGGUUAUAUACCCAUACCAUAUAUGGGGUGAUAUAUUAAAAAUAUUGGUUUUAAUAUAUAUUAAAUUAUCAUUUACAAUUUUUUUAAAAUUUAAAAUGUUAUUAUUAUGUCAAAAUUGAAAUAUAGUAUCACCAAACAAUAACAACGCAAAAUCAAAGUAAAAAAUACGACAAAACCCAAUGUAUAAAUACGCAGAAUUGGACAUUCGAACCUUAAAUGAUGUUCCUCCACGUUCUCCCUCUUCUUUGCCGCAAAUAAUGUUAAAUGUUUUCAACAAAUACAAUGUAUGAACCCUUUUUAAUGGUUUUUUUGCUAGGAAGCGAAACACCCAAACAGAAAUUUGAAAUAGAUGAAGAAAACGGAUGAGGAGAAAUUGGAGAUGCUGCAGAAACACUUAGGGAUUUGAUUGAAAAGGGGGAUUUGGGGCUGGCUACGGGGAUAUACCCCAAAACUGAUAUCCCAUCAAAACGACACCUUUUAAAUUUAAUUUUUUUUGUGGAUCUUAAAGGAAAACGCCACUAAUCUUACAGAUUUUGCGGCGCGUUGAGAAAAAAACGCCAUUAAACCCUAAACGCAUCAAUCAAAAGGCCACAUUUCAUUCAAUUUUAAAUUAGCAUUUGCGGCGUUUUGGUUACACGCCACUAAAUAUUCACCUUAUUUAUAAGUAUUUUGAUUUUUAAUUGAUUUUUAAAUUCGAUAAAUGUUUGGACAUUCUUUUAAAUUGAAACAUUAAUAUGAAAUUAUUAAUUUUUUUUCAAUAAUAUUAUUUUAAAAUAUGGCACAGAUUUAAUACAUUUUUUUCAAUUAUACAUAUUUAAUAAAUAUUCAAAUUUAUAAAUACUAUCAAUUUAAAUACUAUCAAUAUUAAAAUUUAUAAAUAAGUUUACGGCGUUUUAUCAGAAAACGCCACUAAAGGAAUACAGUGAAAGGAAAACGAAGCGGUUUUGCUAUAUUAUUUGCGGCGUUUUCUGUGUAAGCGCUGCUAAAUCCUACCUGUUGCGGCGUUUUAAGUUAAAACGCCACUAAUUAUUCAGUUUUUAUAAUAUUUUAUGUCUUUUGUCGAAACCAUUUUUUAGAUUUGAAAAAACAGGGGGAUCGACUUUGAAAAAUGAAAAAUAGGGAGUCGCCACCGAUCUUUUAUUGAGGUGUGAUCGGAUCACCUUGGAAAUAAUUUUAGGUCUGCAAAUUUUGAGAAAACAAGUUCGGGAGUCGAUUACGCACGAGGAAGGGUUAGCACCCUCGUGACGCCCAAAAUUGGUACCGAAUUGAAUGUUUUAUGUCUUAAUGUCGAAAUUUUGAAAAGAUUUUAAAAUAUGAUUCUUUUAUUUUGAAUAAAAUGAAUUGGAAGAUAAAACUCAUUUAUUUUAAAGAAAUAAUUUGUUACACUCAGUAAGUUAGAGUGCAGCAUCUCAAAUCCUCAAAAUUAAGCUUAUUCUUUGAUUUUUAAAACCUAUACAUUUUGAGAAGGAUAUCCGAUUAUUUGGGUCAAAUGAGAAAAUCAAAACCCAGUAAGUUAGGGUUCAAUUUCACAAAAUUCCUGAAUAUCGAACAUUGCCUUUAUUUUUAAAAUCCUCGUCUCGAGAAAAUAACAUGUCAUAUCCAAUGCGUUAGGACACAACGUGUUGAAUUCCCGAGAAUGAGUUUUUAUUUGAAAUUUGUGAAUUCAUUGCAAAAUGAAUACUUGGCUUUCUAAAUUCAUCGAAAGAUAAUCGCAAUCCAGUAAGCUAGGACACGAUCUUCCUCGAGAAUCAUGAAUGCCAAAUAUUUCAAAAAUUUAUAAAAUACGAUGAUUUUAAUGUUUUGGCGAAACCAAAAUAUAUACUUUCUAGAAGAUAUGCUAGAAAAGUUAAUGUAUAAUAUGAAACAAAUACUUUAAUUUAAAUUGUAUAUGUAUAUGUAUUUACAAAAUAUAAGCACAAGAUACAAGUAAAUUUGUAAAUAUGUGUAUGCAUAUAUUUAACACACAUCUACAAGUAUACAUGUAAAAAAGGAAGGAAUGGAAUAUAUCAACAAAAAUAAAAUAAAAAAUGCAUGUAUAUAGGUACAUGAAAAUCGUAAAAUAAAAUAAACAUAUAAAAAUUUAUAUGUGUAUAUAUUGACAAAAAUAAAAAAAAAUAUAAGUACAUAUGUAUUGGCAAAUCAUGAAAACACGUAUAUGUAUUAAAACUUAUAUAUGUGUACAAUGUGUAUAUAAAUAACGGAGUAUAUAUAUAGAAUAAUAAAAUGUUUAUGAUAAUUCAAAAAUAUAUAUAAUAAUAAAAUGUGUAUUUUGAAUUGUAAAAUAUGGGAACACGUGCGUAUUCUAAAAUGUGUAUGUAUACAUAUAUAUAUAUGUUUGUAAAAAAUUUUAUGAAGAAAAGAAGAAAGUAACGUACGUAUACAUAUGUAAAAAAGUAAAAAAGAUUUUUGAAACUAAAAUAUAAAAGUAUAUACAUAUUGAAGUUAGGGAACAAAAAUAAAGAAAAAAAACAUACGUAAAAAUAUGUAUAUAGGUAGGCGGAUACAAGACAAAAAAAACUUGCAUAUAUAUAUUUAUUAUAUAAAAAUAGUGCAUGUGAAUGAAUAUAUAGGAAUAAUAAUAAUAAUAAUAAUAAUAAUAAUAAUAAUAAUAUUUAAAAACACUAAAAAAACAAAAUACAAAAAGAAAAAAAACAAUAAAUGAAAUUAACCAAACAGAGGACUAAUUUGCAACGCACGAAUUAUAUGGGGGCCGAGUGGGAAAUAUCCCGCUUCCCAAAACGCUGCGUAGCAACAUGGGUCAAAAUGAAGCAAGAGCAAAAUGAAGUGUGAAAUUUGUAAAUAAAUAAAACUAACAUAAAAACACCACGAAGAAAGGGGGACCUUAUACGCAAAUAGACCAAACGAUCAAAAUACGCGGAUCCUUCCCUCGGGUCGGGUCACCACACGGGUAGUACGCCUUUAAACGAUGCCAUUUCUUUCGUGGUUAAAAAAAACUAAACCCUAAUCAGUUAAACAUUUUCUAAUCUAACAAAACAAAAGAAAAAAAACUAACAGAAAAGAGAGAAAAACUGUCUCUUUGCGCCGCUCGAAUAACAGGCUGCUCGAGAGCCCCCUCGCCUUCGCCCAUUCAACUCUGAUUAGCCUGGAGGAGAAGAAGGCUUCAUCGGCGCUGUUAACAGGUAAUUUCCAACUCCCCUUUUUAGAUCUAUCCUUAUAUAUGUAUAGUUGAUAAAAAGGAAAAGGAAAGAAAAAUGAUUCGGAAAAAGAACAAAAUGAAAAAGAGAAGGAAAAAAAACCUUCUUUUCAAUUUUUUUGUAUUGAUUUCAUGUUCAUGUGAUACAAUAUGCCCCCCACCAUUUACAAAUACUCAAAACUGGCUUUAUAGCUGAAAUUGAAAUAUCCAAAAACUACAACCGAAAACCUCCCUUCCCUUUCUUUUUUUCUUUUUUCUUUAUUCUCUCUCCAUUUCUGCUUUUUUCUCUGCUUUGUUGUGUUCGUUUGUUGCAGGUGUACGGGCGUACGAGGGCCAGCUGGGACGUGGCGCGGCUCGUGUGAGGCAUCGUGCGUGGUGGGCACGCGAGGAGGCGUGCGGCGCUGGGGCUGGGUAGAGGCAGGAGCGGCGCCCUAGGGUUUGUUGAAGUGUUUAUGUUGCGGGCCUGUUGGGCUAGGGUUUAUGCAAGAUGGGGCUUGGGACAAUUGGGCCAUUUGGGUUUAAUGUUCUGGGCCAAUAUAAAUGGACUAUUUUUGGACUGUUAUUAAUUUUUGUGUUUGGUUUAUAUUUUUUAUUUUGAUUUGAUUAUGGGCUGGGCAAAUUAGGCCUAUUACAUUAUUCAGUUAAAACGCCACUAAUUAUUCAGUUUUUAUAAUAUUUUAUAUGUCUUUAUUUAUAAGUAUUUUUUAUUUUUAAUAGAUUUUAAAAUUGGAUAAAUGUUAUGUCAUUAUUUUAAAUUGAUGCAUUAAUAUGAAAUUAUUAAUUUCAUUUCAAUUAAAAUAGUUUAAAAUUAUGACACAGACUUAACAUAUUCUUUUUUAUUGUACAAAUCUUAAAAAAAAAAUUCCAUUUUAUAUAUGUAAGUAUGUAUUAUUAAAAUACUAUCAACAUUCCAAUUUAUAAAUUAUUGACACUAUUCCAAUAAUGUCUUACAAUUUUAAUUUUAUGCUCUAAGUUAUGCAAAUCUUGAUAACGCUCGUACACAAUAUUAAAUUGUUUCAUCAUACAUAACAUAUAUAUAUAUGAUAUCGUGUCAUGCAUAUAUAUAUAUAUAUAUGUUUUUAUACCCCUGUCGGUUCUAAACCUAAUAAUGACAUAAUAAGAAGUAAAAAACAUGAAGUAUUUGAAUUUUUUUUGACUUUUGUAUCAAAAUAGUAAUUAAACCCUAAAAUUGCCACAACAUUAAACCCUAAACUGUAACUCAUAUAAACCCUAAAUCCAAAACACAAAAAUCAACAUCGUAACCCUUAAAUCAUUAACGCUAAACCGUAAACCAUAAACAUCAAGCCCUAAAACAGUAAAUUUCAUUAUCUUAUAAGCCGUAAAUUCCCUAACCUGAUAUUAACACUGAAAUGUAAACUCUAAACCUUGAACCCCAAUCCCCGAGCCCUAUACCUAAACUCUAAACCCAUGUCAUCAAAAUUGUAAUCCUAAAAUAAUAAACAUUGUGUAACGAACCCUAAAACCCCAAACCGUAAAACAUUAACGCUAAACCGUAAAACAUAAACAUCAAUCCCUAACACAGUAAAUUUCAUUGUCUUAUAAGCCAUAAACACUAACUCGAUAAUAACACUGAAAUGUUAACUCUAAACUUUAAACCCCAAUCUCCAACCCCUAAACCUAAACUCUAAGCCCAGAACACAAAAAUGUAAUCCUAAAAUAAUAAAUAUUGUGCCACAAACCCUAAAUCCCCAAACCGUAUAUGAUAAAACUUAAAUAUUAAACCGUAAAACCUAAAAUUUUCUUUCUAUUUUUGCGGCGUUUUUUUCCAAAAACGCCACUAAUACCAAUACAGACAAUCAAAAGCGGCGUCAUUUUAACUAACAUUCCACCAAAGAAGAAAAGCAUCUUGCCGAAAUAUUUGCGGCGUUUUAGGUCAAGCACCGCUAAUUCCAGACAUGUUGCGGCGUUUAUUUAAAAGCGCCACUAAAGCAAUAUACUGAAAUAAAAUGAAGCCGUUUUGCUUAGUUUUGUUCCGGCGUUUAUAAAAGAAACGCCGCAAAUUAGUUACUUAUAGCGGCGUUUGUUAACAACCGUCGCGAAAUCCCUAUCUUUUGUGGCGUUUUUUAGUAAGCGCCACUAAAGCAAUAAUAGGAAAAAAUAAAACGGUACAGUUUUGUUGAAAUUUUUUCCUCAAAUUACUUACCUUUACCGGCGUUUCUCUCAAAACGCUGCUAUAUCCCAAUAUUUUGCGGCGUUUUUUUAAUAAGCGCCACUAAAGUAAUAAAAUAACCAAAAAACGAAGCCGUUUUGCAAAAAAAUUGUGUCGUUUCAAAGAAAUCGCCGCUAAUGCAGGUCUAUUGUGGCGUUUUUUGUUUAGCGCCGCUAAAACUCUAUCUUUUGCGGCGUUUUUUGGUUAAACGCCGCUAUAAACGCCGCUAAAAGCCUGUUUUGGUGUAGUGUUUCAUGGAAGCAAGCAUGACAGUAAUCUUUUUUUAACAUAAAUUAAAAUUCAAAAAUGGAGGUUCUAUUUGGAAAAUAUUACCGGACGAAGAAAAUGGCAAUGCUAAAAGAAACUAAAGUGAGAGUCAAUUCAACUUCAGCAAGCAAAGUCAUGACUCCAGGUUACCGACCCCAUUUUCAAAAUUCAAUUAUUUGUCAUUACUUUACUAAUGGAUAACUCCAACUUAAUUGAACGUAAUUAUGUGUUUAAUUUGAAUCAAACCAUAGGUUUUAAAUAAAAUUUAUAAUGCUCAUGUUACAUAUCAAUAUUAUUAAAUUAUUUAAAUAUUUUUAGAAUUAUAUUUAAUUUUAAUUUUAAAAUAUAUUUAAUCAAAACUAUGAGUUGUAUCACUUGUAUAUGCAUAACCACAUAUUUAUAACACAAAUGUGUAUAAAGUUUUGAUUCAAUGGUAAAGUUAAUAUUUUAUUGAUGUAAAUAAUAUGGGUUCAAAUUCAACCAUAUUUAUUGGGUUUUUCAAACAAAUAAAAAAACUAAAAUACUUUCAAAUAAUAUAAUAUUUUUAAUUGUGAAAAGAUAUUUUUAUAAUUUUUCUAAUUAAAUUUGUGUUUGGUUGACUCAUGACACUAAAUCAACUAAAGACUUAAAUAAUAGUAUAAUAUUAAUGUAUUUAAAAUUUGAAGGAUUAAUAAACAUAAAUGGAGAAGCCCAAGCCAAGAAUUUGGAUUUGAAGAUGUUAACUGGUUUUAUGAACGCUUCCAGUGACGACCGCCAUUUCAAUUUUUUCUUUAAUUUCAAGCUUUAAGAACAAGAAACAAAAAUCGUAAAUUUGGGAGAUCAGAAAAUAAGGUAUAAAUUGAUUACUUUGAUCGUGUUUAUGAUUCAUCACAAUUCUUAGUUAAGCUCGGGUGACGAAGCUCACAAAAUUUAAUCAGUUUAAAGCACUAUGUUUUUUUUUUUAAACCAAAAUCCAAAAAUCUGAAGGUGCCGAAUGUACAAAUGGAUAAUUUUGAUGUAAAACAAAGAUCCCAAACUAGUCGAUAUAUCACAAAAAGACAAACCAGAGUGAUGAGGUUUGCAUGGCCUCCAAGCCAGGAACAAAAUAUACGUAACGAGCUAGCUACACACAAAAUUUAAAAGGAUAAAUCAGCAUCAGCUGUUAUUUCUAUAAUAAAUCUAGUCCUACCAUACAUGGUGCUGAUGAUGAUCUUAUAUUUUAGACCGAUGGGUGCCUUGGGUGGUCUGUGAGGUUGCUCCUCAAUUAGUAUGGGGAGGGUUUCCCUUACUGGCUGGUUUACUAUGUCGGGCUUGUGGAGGUUUACGUGCAUCCUCAACUUCCACGUUCAAGAGGUGUCUGUGAGGCGGUUUUU
rnacentral:lncRNA from 1 species